rnacentral:rRNA from 1 species
AACGAACGCUGGCGGCAGGCUUAACACAUGCAUGUCGAGCGCCCCGCAAGGGGAGCGGCAGACGGGUGAGUAACGCGUGGGAACAUACCCUUUCCUGCGGAAUAGCUCCGGGAAACUGGAAUUAAUACCGCAUACGCCCUACGGGGGAAAGAUUUAUCGGGGAAGGAUUAGCCCGCGUUGGAUUAGCUAGUUGGUGGGGUAAAGGCCUACCAAGGCGACGAUCCAUAGCUGGUCUGAGAGGAUGAUCAGCCACAUUGGGACUGAGACACGGCCCAAACUCCUACGGGAGGCAGCAGUGGGGAAUAUUGGACAAUGGGCGCAAGCCUGAUCCAGCCAUGCCGCGUGAGUGAUGAAGGCCUUAGGGUUGUAAAGCUCUUUCACCGGAGAAGAUAAUGACGGUAUCCGGAGAAGAAGCCCCGGCUAACUUCGUGCCAGCCGCCGCCGUAACAC